GGGAAGGUAGCUUAGUCGGGAGAGCGCAGGACUGAAGAUCCUGAGGUCGAGGGUUCAAGUCCCUCUCUUCCCA
rnacentral:tRNA from 1 species